UGCCCAAUAUGCCCAAAGAUCCGCGGCAGAGUUGGCGAAACGCCAUGCACAGCUUCGGAAAACACGGGAUGUGGCCGUUUGGGCCUCUCUCCUCUGCAUGCCGGGGUAAUGGCGCUAGCAUUUGAGAAGCAGCCGUCGAACAAAAUGGCAUGGUCCAUUGGCUGCAUUUACCCUGGCCCCCAAAUCUAUCCCGUCAAGAUACCUUCGAUGUCAGUUCCUGGAAACUGGUGAUUGUAGAAAGAGAUUCGGCUCUGGCAUCCCUCGUUCCUGGACGCUAAAAGGCUAAAUUAGCGUAAGCCUAAAACAGGCCUCCUUGGAUCAACCAGCGGGAUCAUGUUGAUAUCAUAGGUACCGCACAUAGAGCCUCGAUGGGGG
rnacentral:sRNA from 1 species